ensembl:lncRNA
UGAUUAUAAGCUGGGUUAGCAAGAACAGCCCUCCUUUUUACUUUCCUUCAGGGAAGGACAGGGUUAAAAAACCUUAGUCUGACUUUGCCUCUUGGAAAGCCUUGGGUUGCAGCCCUGCCUUCCAAGCAUUCUUUAAACUAGAAAUGUGGGAGGGCCUCCAGGAGGGAGAGAGAAAGAGGGAGAGGGCUCUUAGAGGAGGGAGAGCUAGAGAGCAAGCCAGAGAGGAGCGAGAUGGCUAUCAGCUGAAUUCAUUACUGUAAACAUCUCCCAGGGGUGUCAGGCUGGGGGGCGGGGAAGGCGGGGGCGAGGCACGACUUACAUUAGCGGGGAAUAGUCAAACCUGAGGCAUCGUUACUGCUAAGAUCAACCUCGCAAUCCCCGUCUGAAGAAGGCUCAAGACUUGGAGCUAGACACACGCGCGCGCGUGCACACACUCACACACACGCUCCCGCUCCCACAUACGUGUGUGGGGUAUCUGGAGACUUGUCCGAGUCCUGGAUCUCGGUGUUUCCUCCAGUGAUCCUUUCAUCGCCUCUAAAGGAGACCCCUUCGAGAGCGCAUCCUGCGGCUGCAUUUUUCCCCUUCGGUUUUCCCCAGUUUUCCUUUUCCUUUUUUUGGGGGGCGGGGGUCAGAGAAGGGGGCGUCAUUUUUUAUUUGCGAAGAACACCAGUAGGGGAGCGGGGGCGCUGGGCAGAAGGAAGGGGUGGUGGUGGUGACAAGAAGGCAGAAGAGAAGAGAAAGUGGGAUGCCAGAGCCCUGGGCUGCGCGUUGGAGGAGGAGGUGGAGGAGGAAGGGGGAGGACGAUGCCGCUGCUUCAUAGGGGAGGAAGGCGAGAGCAAGGGGAAAGGAGCGCUCCGGUGAGCUGGCAGAGGCGAGCCGCGGGGUGCGGAGAAGCGUGCCCGUCACAGCGGCUCCGGCUCGGGCUACAGCUCCGGCAGCCCCCGAUCCAGCCGCCGGAUACCCACCCAGGGCACCCGCAGCCUCCACCGCGAUCCAGAGGCAGGAGCAAAAGUUUGGAUCUCGGGGAGGGAAAAGCGCAAAGAGGGAUUAUGACCAGGGCUGGAAAAGGACUGCAAGAAUCUUCGCAGGUGUUUAUGGCUGGAAUUCGCUUUGGACUCCAAGGCUGACAUUCUACACAAGGUUUUGAUUAGAAUCCAUAGAAUGCCAAGGUGCCAGGCACAUUCAGCUAAGUAGAAGGUGGGCGUCUGCUGAACAGAGUGCCUGAUGUUCUCAGCUGUAGUGAAUUUAGGCUGGAAUUAAUGAGCCAGAGAAGGUGUGGGUCAAUAUUUGGGAGAUUUUUGUGGAUUUUUCUCCAUUUUGCUGUAAAUAAUUACUUCCCCCACCUUUAUUUUGGAUCAUGAUUUCUCAGAGUUUUAUGUAUUUAUUUCUAUGUUCAUAAUAUUUUACUCCUGUUGGACACCAUGUUCAUAUAUUUUUUUUAGGACAACCUGUUUCCCAAGCCUAAGGAGAGUUUAGUGUAAAUUAAUGGUGUGUAAUGUUUAUUUGUGUAAAAUUCUUAAUUUGUGUAAUGUUUAUUUAUAAGAAACAUUUAUUUUGAACCAGUAUAAAUCACAGCAACUUUCUGCUUUCACAAAUUAGAACAUGUUCUCUUUUUUUUUUUUUUGGGGGGGGAGGCAGUUGGGGUUAUGUGACUUGCCCAGAGUCACACAGCUAGUUAGUGUUAUGUGUCUGAGGCCGCAUUUGAACUCAGCUCCUCCCAAAUCCAGGGCCGGUGCUCUACCCACUGCACCAUAACAUGUUCUUGAUAGAAACACACUUUGGUAAAGUCAAAGAUGGCAUGAGAAUUGAAAUUCAAGAGUAUGUUUAUAAGAUGGGGAGUAUUAUCCUUUUAUUUUUAAAGAUUGUCUUGAAUUUCUUUCCAUGGGGAUGUUGUAAAGAAACUGUCACAUAAAUUGUCAAACUUUAUAUAAAUGCAAGAUUAUCUUUAUUCCUGCAAUGGGAUUUUUAAUAAUAACUUCAGGGAAUACUCUUCACAAUCACCCUGUAGUAAGUAGUGUAAUUAUUAUUAUUAUUCCUAUUUUCAAGGGUUUGCUGGCACCAAGCUGUUAUUGACUGAAGAGUCAAUUGUUAAAUUUUCAAUGUGAGCAUUUAUAUUUUGGAAAUCAG